CAGGGUGUUGCGUGUUACUU
rnacentral:miRNA from 1 species